GAACUUUUAUUUGGAAAAUUUCGGAAAUUCCGUGACCCGGAAGUACUGUUUCAACUUUGUUGACGAUACGAUGAUGAUGCUGGUGAAGAAAGAUGGCAGCAGCUGGAAGAGCAAUUGUGCAGUCCAAGAGUGCUGAAAGUGGGAGUUGCCGCAGCACAGCAGUCCAGUGGUACACACAGUUCACCUUUGACCUCUGCACCAUCACCCUUGACUCGCCUCCCGGGAACCUCAGAUAACGCUGCAACUAUCAGAGAUCUUCCCCAGAGGUAUCGAAGAAGGAUAGUUGGUCCAGAGGAGAUGGAGUACAUCCAGCGUGGUGGACCAGAGUAACAGACAUCACUGAUAACCUGCCAAACCAUUCUCUGGAUAUUUAUUCAGUACUGUAUAGCUUUUUUAGGAGCAUAACUGCCAGAGAUUCCAAUAUAAAAUGCACAAAGAAACAUUUAUCUCUAGAUCCUGUUGGAUCAGAGCGCUGAAAUUUUUAUUUUUAUGUUCAAGCAGUGCUGAUAAUCUCAAAUGCUUUUUUGAAUGUAUUGUGAUAUGAGAUAGGAAGUAUGCAGAUUCAAGCAUUGUCUAGUUUUCUUCUAAUAGCCUAUGUAUUAUGCAAAGUAAAGCGAAAAACUGUAAACGCUCCAUUGUCAUGGCUAUCAGUUAUCUACCUGAUAACAGCUACAGUGCCUUCAGAAAGUAUUCUCACCCCUUCACUUUUCCCACAUUUUGUUGUUACAGCCGGAAUUUAAAAUGUAUUAAAUGGAGAUGUUUUCACAGAUCUACACAAUACCCCAUAAUGUGAAAGUGGAAUUAUGUUUGUAGGAAUGGUUACAAAUGAAAAGCUUAAUUGUCGCGAGUCAAGAAGUAGUCAACCCUUUUGUUAUGGGAAGCCUAAAGUUCAGGAGUAAAAAUGUGCUCAACAAUCCACAUAAGUUGCAUGGACUCAACUUGUGUGCAAUUAUAAUGUUUAACAUGAUUUUUAAAUGACUACCCCAUCUCUGUACCCCACACAUACAAUUAUCUGUAAGGUAAUUGCAGUGAAUUUCAAGCACAGAUUCCACUUUGCGAACCAAGGUUUUCCUAUGGUCCGCAAAGAAGAGCACCUAUUGGUAGAGGGUGCAGUUAUUAAUUUUACACUUUGGAUGGUGUAUCAAUACACCCCAGUCACUACAAAGAUAGUCGCCCUUCCUAACUCAGUUGCCGCAGAGGAAGGAAACCGCUCAGGGAUUUCACCAUGAGGCCAAUGGUCGAUUUUAAACGGUUACAGAGUUUAAUGGCUAAUAUGAGAGAAUAACUGAGGAUGGACAAACAACAUUGUAGUUACUCCAAAAUACUAACAUAAAUGACAGUGUGAAAAGAAGGAAGCCUCUACCGAAUAAAAAAUAUUCCAAAACAUGCAUCAUUUAUUUGAGGCACUAAAGUAAUACUGCAAAGAAUGUGGCAAUUAAAUUUUUUGUUGUUGUCCUGAAUACAAGUUUUAAUGUCAUGUGCACAACUACAGUGAAAUGCCAUUCCUGCAAGCUCCAAACACAACAAUGCAGUAAUCUACAAAGCAUUAUGUUUGGGACAAAUCCAACACAUUGCUGAGUACCUCUCUUCAUAUUUUUAAGAAUGGUGGUGGCUGCAUCAUGUUAUGGAUAUGCUUGUCAUCUGCAAGGGAGUUUUUUUUUUUAAAUAAAUAAGAAACAGAAUAGAGCUAAGCACAGACAAAAUCCUAGAGGAAAACUUGGUUCAGUCUGCUUUCCACCAGACACUGGGAGAUUAAUUCACUUUUCAGCAGGACAAUAACCUAAAACACAAGGCCAAAUCUACACUGGAGUUGCUUACCGACACAUUUCUUUUUUUGUCUUUCCUAUAUAUAGCUCUUUUAUUUUUUAUUUAAUGUAAUAUCUUAUGUUGUUCUUGUGUAUUACUGUUCUGUACUUUGUCUUGUAUAUGUAUGUUUUGUGUGGACCCCAGGAAGAGUAGCUGCUGCAUUUGCAGUAGCUAAUGGAGAUCCUAAUAAUCUAAACCAAGAAGACAGUGAAUUCUCCUGAGUGGCCGAGUUAAUGUUUUGACAUAAAUCUACUUGAAAAUC